rnacentral:misc_RNA from 1 species
UCUCUCUCUCUCUCUCUCUCCACUCGUGUCUCUGUUCUGCUUCUAUCGCCUUCUUUCAUAGGCCAGUAGCCAGAGAUAGAGUGCAAGCUGAGAGUCAGAAGGGAAGAGGUGGGAGACGAGCGCAGCUAAGCACUGAGGCCUGAUUCUGCGCCCUGGUUGGUUCCCUUUUCAUGGAUUCUUCUAUUUUAUCCGUCCUCUAUGAUCGCUUCGUUACCACGGCAAUUCUGGUUUCAAACUAAGGAAAACAUGGAUUCUUGUUUCCAUUUCCCCCCCCUGGUUAGAAUCUCUGCAUUUCUCGUAUCUACAACUAACUCUGGCGGACCUUAAAGGAACUCUUGUGUUCCUUCGAUCCUCUCUUUUCUCCUUCCUGUCAGAUCAGUUCGAUUUCAAAUCUAAUAAAAAAAAGAGGAGAGGGAUUUAUCAGGGGAAAAUGCUAUGGGUUAUGCGUUUUUCAGGCUUCUUCUCUGCAGCCAUGAUCAUGAUUAUCCUCUCCCCCUCUCUUCAAUCCUUCCCUCCUGCCGAGGCCAUUCGAUCUUCUCACCUCGACGGCUUCUUGGGAAAUCCUAUCACUGAUUUGCCGGACCGAUUCUGCUUCCGAAAAGCGGCUGUAUUCCACAAUGCCGACAAAUGUGGCUUCAGAGAUAACAGAAUCUCCGGAAAAACUGACGUCUGCGAUCCGUCCUUGGUACAUGUUGCCAUUACACUCGAUGUUGAGUACCUUCGGGGGUCAAUCGCCGCUGUACACUCCAUAUUGCAGCAUUCAUUGUGUCCAGAGAGUGUUUUUUUUCACUUUUUGGUUUCGGAGAUCAAUCUGGAAUACCUAGUGAGGUCUACUUUCCCUCAAUUGAAGUUCAAGGUGUAUUACUUCGAUCCAGAGAUUGUGCGAAAUCUGAUCUCCACUUCCGUGAGGCAAGCCCUUGAACAGCCACUCAAUUACGCGAGGAAUUACUUGGCUGAUCUGCUGGAGCCUUGUGUUCGCCGAGUGAUCUACUUGGACUCUGAUUUAGUCGUGGUUGAUGAUAUUGCAAAGCUGUGGACUACGAAUUUGGGUUCUAGAACAAUCGGUGCCCCGGAAUACUGCCACGCAAACUUUACGAAAUAUUUCACGGCGAGCUUCUGGUUGAAUUUAAAGUUUUCCGGUACUUUUAGUGGUCGGAAAUCGUGCUAUUUCAACACUGGAGUAAUGGUGAUAGAUCUGGCUAAGUGGAGACGGGUCGGGUACACAAAGCGGAUUGAGAGAUGGAUGGAGAUCCAGAAGAGUGAUCGGAUCUAUGAGCUGGGGUCGCUGCCGCCGUUCCUCUUAGUAUUCGCGGGACACGUAGCGCCGAUUGAGCACCGGUGGAACCAACACGGAUUAGGUGGUGAUAAUGGGAGAGGCAGCUGUCGUAACUUGCAUCCAGGUCCAGUUAGCCUUCUGCAUUGGUCCGGCAGUGGCAAGCCUUGGCUGAGGAUAGACUCGAAGCAACCUUGCCCGCUUGAUGCUCUAUGGGCUCCAUACGACUUGUACGGACACUCACAUUGAAUCACAGGAGUAGUCGCCGGGAGAUAUUCAAUUUGAUUGUGCGAGUGUCUGUUGGAUUUGGCAUUAAAGUUACAGUAGCAAUUAGGGCCACAACUGGUCUGUCAGCUGGAGAUAUUCAAUGGUGAGAGGGAGACGGACCAGACGGUACACGUGAUAAUGGUGCCAUUGCGGUGGAUAUGCAUUUUUUGAAAUGACCAAAUUGCACUUGUUGCUGUUGGGGAAUUGUUAAUUAUAAGCAUACUGGCUGGUGUCGGUCAACUGAUUUGUGAAAAAUUAUGUGAUGAAACUGAUGAGUAUCUUAUAAUUUUAUUAUAAUAAUUAAUUGUGAUAAAUAUUAUGAAAAU